rnacentral:rRNA from 1 species
GAUGAACGCUGGCGGCGUGCCUAAUACAUGCAAGUCGAGCGAACGGACGAGAAGCUUGCUUCUCUGAUGUUAGCGGCGGACGGGUGAGUAACACGUGGAUAACCUACCUAUAAGACUGGGAUAACUUCGGGAAACCGGAGCUAAUACCGGAUGAUAUUUUGAACCGCAUGGUUCAAAAGUGAAAGACGGUCUUGCUGUCACUUAUAGAUGGAUCCGCGCUGCAUUAGCUAGUUGGUAAGGUAACGGCUUACCAAGGCAACGAUGCAUAGCCGACCUGAGAGGGUGAUCGGCCACACUGGAACUGAGACACGGUCCAGACUCCUACGGGAGGCAGCAGUAGGGAAUCUUCCGCAAUGGGCGAAAGCCUGACGGAGCAACGCCGCGUGAGUGAUGAAGGUCUUCGGAUCGUAAAACUCUGUUAUUAGGGAAGAACAUAUGUGUAAGUAACUGUGCACAUCUUGACGGUACCUAAUCAGAAAGCCACGGCUAACUACGUGCCAGCAGCCGCGGUAAUACGUAGGUGGCAAGCGUUAUCCGGAAUUAUUGGGCGUAAAGCGCGCGUAGGCGGUUUUUUAAGUCUGAUGUGAAAGCCCACGGCUCAACCGUGGAGGGUCAUUGGAAACUGGAAAACUUGAGUGCAGAAGGGGAAAGUGGAAUUCCAUGUGUAGCGGUGAAAUGCGCAGAGAUAUGGAGGAACACCAGUGGCGAAGGCGACUUUCUGGUCUGUAACUGACGCUGAUGUGCGAAAGCGUGGGGAUCAAACAGGAUUAGAUACCCUGGUAGUCCACGCCGUAAACGAUGAGUGCUAAGUGUUAGGGGGUUUCCGCCCCUUAGUGCUGCAGCUAACGCAUUAAGCACUCCGCCUGGGGAGUACGACCGCAAGGUUGAAACUCAAAGGAAUUGACGGGGACCCGCACAAGCGGUGGAGCAUGUGGUUUAAUUCGAAACAACGCGAAGAACCUUACCAAAUCUUGACAUCCUUUGACAACUCUAGAGAUAGAGCCUUCCCCUUCGGGGGACAAAGUGACAGGUGGUGCAUGGUUGUCGUCAGCUCGUGUCGUGAGAUGUUGGGUUAAGUCCCGCAACGAGCGCAACCCUUAAGCUUAGUUGCCAUCAUUAAGUUGGGCACUCUAAGUUGACUGCCGGUGACAAACCGGAGGAAGGUGGGGAUGACGUCAAAUCAUCAUGCCCCUUAUGAUUUGGGCUACACACGUGCUACAAUGGACAAUACAAAGGGCAGCGAAACCGCGAGGUCAAGCAAAUCCCAUAAAGUUGUUCUCAGUUCGGAUUGUAGUCUGCAACUCGACUACAUGAAGCUGGAAUCGCUAGUAAUCGUAGAUCAGCAUGCUACGGUGAAUACGUUCCCGGGUCU